UACAGAGGUCUCAAGCGUUGUUCGGAUUCAUUGGGCGUUAAAGGGUGCGUAGGCGGCGCGGUAAGUCGGGUGUGAAAUCUCGGGGCUUAACUCCGAAACUGCAUUCGAUACUGCCGUGCUUGAGGACUGGAGAGGAGACUGGAAUUUACGGUGUAGCGGUGAAAUGCGUAGAUAUCGUAAGGAAGACCAGUGGCGAAGGCGGGUCUCUGGACAGUUCCUGACGCUGAGGCACGAAGGUCAGGGGAGCAAACGGG
rnacentral:rRNA from 1 species